UACGUAGGUGACAAGCGUUGUCCGGAUUUACUGGGCGUAAAGAGCGCGCAGGCGGUCGUUCAAGUCGAGUGUGAAAGCCCCCGGCUCAACUGGGGAGGGUCAUUCGAUACUGAUCGACUCGAAGGCAGGAGAGGGAAGUGGAAUUCCCGGUGUAGUGGUGAAAUGCGCAGAUAUCGGGAGGAACACCAGUGGCGAAGGCGGCUACCUGGACCAGCACUGACACUGAGGCACGAAAGCGUGGGUAGCAAACAGG
rnacentral:rRNA from 1 species